rnacentral:rRNA from 1 species
UGGCUGCCUAAUACAUGCAAGUCGAGCGGACAGAUGGGAGCUUGCUCCCUGAUGUUAGCGGCGGACGGGUGAGUAACACGUGGGUAACCUGCCUGUAAGACUGGGAUAACUCCGGGAAACCGGGGCUAAUACCGGAUGGUUGUUUGAACCGCAUGGUUCAGACAUAAAAGGUGGCUUCGGCUACCACUUACAGAUGGACCCGCGGCGCAUUAGCUAGUUGGUGAGGUAACGGCUCACCAAGGCAACGAUGCGUAGCCGACCUGAGAGGGUGAUCGGCCACACUGGGACUGAGACACGGCCCAGACUCCUACGGGAGGCAGCAGUAGGGAAUCUUCCGCAAUGGACGAAAGUCUGACGGAGCAACGCCGCGUGAGUGAUGAAGGUUUUCGGAUCGUAAAGCUCUGUUGUUAGGGAACAACAAGUGCCGUUCAAAUAGGGCGGCACCUUGACGGUACCUAACCAGAAAGCCACGGCUAACUACGUGCCAGCCGCGCGGGUUAAUACAAAA